rnacentral:rRNA from 1 species
UACGAAGGGGGCUAGCGUUGCUCGGAAUUACUGGGCGUAAAGGGCGCGUAGGCGGCACUGUUAGUCAGGCGUGAAAGUCCUGGGCUCAACCUGGGAACUGCGCUUGAUACGGCAGAGCUAGAGGAUGGAAGAGGGUCGCGGAAUUCCCAGUGUAGAGGUGAAAUUCGUAGAUAUCGGGAGGAACACCAGUGGCGAAGGCGGCCACCUGGA